CUACAUUUGUUCGAAAGAGGGAAAACUAAUGUAAAAAUGGCAUUAGAGCUCCUAAGCAAAGCAAAAAUCUAACGCGCCUCCGAUUUUCUUU
rnacentral:lncRNA from 1 species